GACGAACGCUGGCGGCGUGCCUAAUACAUGCAAGUAGAACGCUGAAGAGAGGAGCUUGCUCUUCUUGGAUGAGUUGCGAACGGGUGAGUAACGCGUAGGUAACCUGCCUUGUAGCGGGGGAUAACUAUUGGAAACGAUAGCUAAUACCGCAUAACAAUAGGUGACACAUGUCAUUUAUUUGAAAGGGGCAAUUGCUCCACUACAAGAUGGACCUGCGUUGUAUUAGCUAGUAGGUGAGGUAACGGCUCACCUAGGCGACGAUACAUAGCCGACCUGAGAGGGCGAUCGGCCACACUGGGACUGAGACACGGCCCAGACUCCUACGGGAGGCAGCAGUAGGGAAUCUUCGGCAAUAGGGGCAACCCUGACCGAGCAACGCCGCGUGAGUGAAGAAGGUUUUCGGAUCGUAAAGCUCUGUUGUAAGUCAAGAACGAGUGUGAGAGUGGAAAGUUCACACUGUGACGGUAGCUUACCAGAAAGGGACGGCUAACUACGUG
rnacentral:rRNA from 1 species